rnacentral:rRNA from 1 species
GGCCUCUGGGUCCAACCUCCCACCCGUGUCUAUCGUACCUUGUUGCUUCGGCGGGCCCGCCGUUUCGACGGCCGCCGGGGAGGCCUUGCGCCCCCGGGCCCGCGCCCGCCGAAGACCCCAACAUGAACGCUGUUCUGAAAGUAUGCAGUCUGAGUUGAUUAUCGUAAUCAGUUAAAACUUUCAACAACGGAUCUCUUGGUUCCGGCAUCGAUGAAGAACGCAGCGAAAUGCGAUAAGUAAUGUGAAUUGCAGAAUUCAGUGAAUCAUCGAGUCUUUGAACGCACAUUGCGCCCCCUGGUAUUCCGGGGGGCAUGCCUGUCCGAGCGUCAUUGCUGCCCUCAAGCACGGCUUGUGUGUUGGGCCCCCGUCCCCCUCUCCCGGGGGACGGGCCCGAAAGGCAGCGGCGGCACCGCGUCCGGUCCUCGAGCGUAUGGGGCUUUGUCACCUGCUCUGUAGGCCCGGCCGGCGCCAGCCGACACCCAACUUUAUUUUUCUAAGGUUGACCUCGGAUCAGGUAGGGAUACCCGCUGAACUUAAGCAUAUCAAUAAGCGGAGGAAU